rnacentral:lncRNA from 1 species
AUGUGGUGUUGCUGGUCUGGCAGGGUACUCAAAACCUCCUCCUUGGAGAGUGCUUUUUCUGGAACAUUCUCUGUAACAUGUAUGAAGUGUUCUCCCAUCUGGAAGCUCUGUCCCCUGGUGAAGUGGAUCCUGAUUAGAAAGUGGAAAUGUGAAUGCAGACAUGCACACGGAGGAUGCCGUGUGAAGAGGAAAGCAGAAAGUUGGGGCGAUGCAUCUCUACACUGAGGAACCGAUGACUGCCGGCAAAGCAUCCGAAGCUAACAUCUCUCUCACAGCCUUUACAAGCACCUGACCCUCCCAAUCCCCACCCUCCGCCGAAUAAAGAAGCCUCUGACCCUGUAGACAACCUGAUCUCAGACUUCCGGCCCCAGAAGUGUGAGAUAAUAUGUUUCUGUGGUUUAAGCCCCCCAGUUUGUGGUACGUUGUUAUGGCAACCCUUGGCAAAUGUGUAUGCUACGUUUCCCCACUUCCUGGAAAACCACCCCCACUGAUGUCAAAGGGUAGUGUGACCAUAUGACCCUGGCGAGUUCCCCCGUGGGGAGCAAGAGCUGCUCUCUGACCUGCAGAGAAUGUGGGAAGCUCCUAUGGGAAGAGGUGGCCAGUUCACAGCUUGCCUCUGGGGUAUUUCUUCCCCAUUUCCUCGCCCAUGGACCUGCUUGACCAGACCUUGCUGAAACUGCUGUGGGGUCAGGUAGCAGGUGAAGUUGCCUCUGGCGCAAGCUGUGUGUGCUGAGUCCAACCAGGCAGCUGGGCUGCGCUCCUGCACGGCCCCACUGAGGGAUUCCCCCAGUGCCUAGCUUGCCCUCCGCCCUAAGCUGGAGGGUUAGGUCCCUGGGUUGCUCUCGGUCUGCUUGGUACGAGGCACAGGCUGAGCAGAAGCCAGCUUUUAAAGAUUAUUUAUUUAUUUAUUUGACAGAGAGAGAGAUCACAAGUAGGCAGAGAGGCAGGCAGAGAGGGAGAGAGAGAGAGGAGGAAGCAGGCUCCCUGCUGAGCAGAGAGCCCGAUGCGGGACUCGAUCCCAGGACCCUGAGAUCAUGACCUGAGCUGAAGGCAGCGGCUUUACCCACUGAGCCACCCAGGCGCCCCAGAAGCCAGCUUUUUAAGUCGAGUGCAGCGUUGUGAGUGUCCGUGGCAUUCGGAGUCCUCUGCCACGGUCAUCCCAUUCCCCUGGUGGCACAGUCAGUUUAUAUUUAUCCCCCAGCCAGUGCUGGCUGUCUUUGGCACGUUUGAGUCCACUUCCUUUAUGUUACUAACAUGUCCCGGAGGGCGAAGAGCGCCCCCUGUCUUGUUCUCCUUGCACACUGGAAGCCACCAUUUGCCUUGGGCCUGUCUUUUGUAGCCCCAAUCGGCAGGCCUGCAUGGGGUGUUUUACCGGUUCAUCCUCACUGGGCAGGGAGGGGAACAGGACUCCAGGCUGGAGUGAUUUGCUCAGUGUUAUACAAUCAGAUCUAGACCAGGGUCCCCUGCACACAGUAGGUCCAUAGGAAGUGAGGUAGCUUGAUAGGCACCAUAUCGGAGUUCUGUGUUUGCUGGUUCCCCCAGUGUUCCAUAGGGGUCAGUCUGGCGACCUCUGUUAAGACAGGGAUAACCUCUUUGCUGCAGCCCCCGGGCUCCCAGCCCCAGCUCAGGCACGCAUUCCCCUCCUGUGCUGAUUGACGAGCAUGGUGUUAAACGUGUGGCCUUUUGCAGGCAACUCUAGGAGGGCGAUGAGCUUUAUAAAUCUGCCUAGUGCCUAAAAUUGAACCACACACAUAAUUCACUCACACGCACUUGCUCAGCCGGGCUUGCAUUCUCUCUGCCAUCCUGUCUCCAGCUCACGCCUGAUGCCUUAUGAUUCUGGACUUCUCCAGUGCGCAGUGGCAUGUCUGGUUGUCACAGAUUCCUGACCUUUGGGCCUUGGGUCCCCACAGGCAGCUCACUGUUAGCCAAACACCAGGC